CUGACGAGUACUCAGAACCGACCCUCUCCCUUCCAAUCUUAUCUUCUUCCCAUUCUUUUAGUCUCUCAACUCAGCACCGACCCCUCCCUGGCUUCCUCCAUCCUCUCCUCUGCUUCCUCCGAUUGAAGCUCACUGGAGGGGCAGCCUCCACCGGACGUUGCUAGUGGCGUCGGCGGCUGCGCCGAAGCCGCCAUGCGCUGCCCCUCCCCACUGCAUUUUGCUGGCAAGGCCCGACGCAGACCCAUCUAGGGCUUCGUGGGCCCACACCGCCGGCCGCCACUCCGCAGCAACGGGUCGACCAAACCCCGACGCCUCCAGGUCCGGCGCUACUACCAGUUGUCGGCACUGCCCCCAGGUUUAAUUGCUCAUGUACUGAGGAUUUGUAUUGCAGUCAACCAGCUGAUUACACAUAAGGCGGAGGCUUGAAUUGUCCUUGUGGUUCAAGUUACCUACUAGUUCAUCUCACGCUGGAGACGACAUGGAAGAUGAGGACUACAUGGAAGAAGAGGACCUGGAGGAUCUUGAUGGGGAGGACCUUAAUGAGAAUGACUCCGAUUGUGAAGAUAUGGAUGGGGAGGACAUGGAUGGAUAGGACUGGGAUGGUGAGGAUAGAGAUCGGAAAUGGAUGGUGAUGCAGAAAAUAUUGGCAGCAACAAUGGUGGAUCAAUCAGCAAUGAGUUUCGUGACUUCUGCAAUAAACAUGGCAUGUGGUAAGCAUAUCCGCUAGUGCAAUCAUCAAUCAGCAGCAAACAUGGUGCCAACUGACUUUUGUCUUUUGAAUACAUAUGGUUGUUUUCUGAACAGCAUAUGGCUAAACAAUGAUAACUUAUGAGUAGAAUGAUCAUGUGCUUCUACUCUAUGUAGUGAUGGCAAAGAAUUUGUAUAUCUAGUUGUCAACGUAUUUGGUUGAACUCUAGCUUUGUAAUCUGGAUGCUAGUGAUGUGAAAUUGUGAACCAUAUAUUGUUAUCUUGAGCCUCAAUAUUUUUCUGCAA